UCAGAUUAUCAACGUGUACAUUACAAAAUAUGAUAGUGGGGGACAGUUCUGGCCUAUUGCUCACAACACCACCGUGUUUUCAUUUAUAUUUUCUCAACUUAUCGCGCUGGGGGUGUUUGGACUUAAACGCUCAACAGUUGCAUCUGGAUUCACCAUUCCAUUGUUGAUUGGUACGCUUCUAUUUCACCAGUAUUGUAGGCAACGGUUUCUCCCAAUAUUCAAGAGCAAUUCAGCACAGAUUGUAAUUGACAUGGAUAUGAGAGAUGAGCACAGCGGGAGGAUGGAAGAGAUUUAUGAGCAUUUACCUUUAGCCUACAGCCAGCCCAGUUUAAUGGAAGAUGCCUCAAGUCAACCCCAAUGCGACAAACGUCACGAGGACAUGGACAGAGGUCAAUCUUCAUCAGAAGAUAUGGAAACAGGCAAGGAACUUUUUAAAAAAGAUAGACCACGCCCAGUACAACGCUCAGUGAGUUUGAACUCGGAUAAAUCUGUACUUGGUUUAAACCUAUGAGUACACCGAAAAUACUGUACAUUGUAUAAGAAAUAUCAUGACGUGCACUAAAGGUGCCUGUGCACGAACAAUUGUUCAAAAUAUAGAUGAAGAUCAGAGUCUCUUGAGAUAUAUAUGUUGUUCAUUAAUUUUUUAGUUGUAAAUAGUUUUCUUUUAAAAUGAGUUCAAUUAAAUGUAAAUAGAAAUGUAAUAAUACAACAUUGUCAUCAAAAGUGAAAUAAAUUGCAGAAAACUGAGAAAUUGAGAUACGGCAACAUGCAUAUAUCUUUAAAGGAUUUUC